rnacentral:rRNA from 1 species
AGCGAACGCUGGCGGCAGGCCUAAUACAUGCAAGUCGAACGGCUCUUCGGAGCAGUGGCGGACGGGUGAGUAACGCGUGGGAAUGUGCCCUUUGGUACGGAACAACACAGGGAAACUUGUGCUAAUACCGUAUGUGCUCUUCGGGGGAAAGAUUUAUCGCCAUUGGAGACGCCCGCGUUGGAUUAGGUGGUUGGUGAGGUAAAGGCUCACCAAGGCGACGAUCCAUAGCUGGUCUGAGAGGAUGAUCAGGCACACGGGGACUGAGACACGGCCCAGACUCCUACGGGAGGCAGCAGUAGGGAAUCUUGCGCAAUGGGCGAAAGCCUGACGCAGCCAUGCCGCGUGUAUGAUGAAGGUCUUAGGAUUGUAAAAUACUUUCACCGGUGAAGAUAAUGACGGUACCCGGAGAAGAAGCCCCGGCUAACUUCGUGCCAGCCGCCGCUGUAAGAC